rfam:Salmo salar isolate Sally breed double haploid chromosome ssa14, whole genome shotgun sequence.
UGCAUUCACUACUGUAAGUUGCUCUGGAUAAGAGUGUAUGCUAAAUGACUAAAA